CACCAGGUUGAUUCUGCCUGACGUGGACGCUUGCCUUAAGGAUUAAGCCAUGCAAGCCAGCGAAGGAUACGGAGCGGUAAACGGCUCAGUAGGACAGGGACAUCUGACCACGGGUUGAGGAUAACCACGGUAAUCUGUGGCUAAUACGAGCGUGGGUGAGUCUCUGGCCUAUCAGCUAGGCGGUACGGUAAGGGCGUACCGCGGCAACGACGGGUAGCGGGGAAUCGGGGUUUGAUUCCGGAGAGGGAGCCUGAGAGAUGGCUGCCACGUCCAAGGACGGCAGCAGGCGCGGAAGUUACCCACUUGGAGGACCAGAGGUAGUGACGAGGCGUGACGAUGAGGCCAGAGCAAAGAUCUGGCUGAAGGCAACUGGAGGGCAAGUCUGGUGCCAGCAGCCGCGGUAAUUCCAGCUCCAGGAGCGUCUGUGUGAGUUGCUGCGGUUAAAGCGUGCGUAGUCUGAUGAUUCGCCAGCAGGAAAUGUGCGGUCUCGGGCCGUGCAGGGUGUUGGAACGAAAGUCUAGAGACCGGGGCGGGGCAAUGGUAUUCGGCAGCGAGGGGUGAAAACCGAUGACCUGUUGAGGAGCGACCGAGGCGUAAGCGGUUGUCCGGAACGGGUCUGACGAUCAAGCGCGUGAGCGGGAGGAUCGAAGGCGAUUAGAGACCGUCGUAGUUCCUGCAGUAAACGAUGCCGACCGGGGUGCACGCGGUGUGCCCUACGGGAAACCGAGUGUAUGGGCUCCGGGGAUAGUACAGGCGCAAGCCGGAAACUCGAAGAAAUUGACGGAAGGACACCACAAGGAGUGGAGUGUGCGGGUUAAUUUGACUCAACGCGGGACAACUUACCGGGGCAGGUGGUUUUGUGUGAGGGAGUAUGAAAAGACUUUACUACCGAUAGAACCACGCGUGGUGCAUGGCCGUUCUUAACACGUGGGGUGACCUGUCUGGUUAAAUCCGAUAACGCGUGAGACCCUGGAUAGUGACGGGACCUGACGAAGGUUAGGAGGCGCGGGUCGAUAACAGGUCUGUGAUGCCCGUAGAUGUUCCGGGCGCCACGCGCACUACAGUGGGGGAGGGUGCGUGAGACAGCGCUCCCCUGCGGUGGGGAUCGACGUUUGUAAAUACGUUGUGAACGCGGAAUUCCUAGUAGCGUGCUGUCACUAACGGCAGGUGAAUGAGUCCCUGUUCUUUGUACACACCGCCCGUCGCUAUCUAAGAUGGAUGUGCGGAUGAAGGCGGCUCGGCCGCAAGAAUCCGUGCGACUAGAUUGGAUACAAGUCGUAACAAGGUUGCAGUAGGUGAACCUGCCGCAGGAUCAGUAACGAAAUAGUUUGGGUAUUUAUAAAAAAGUAUUAUUAGUAGUACGCUCGAGGGAUCGAUUGGCUUCGGAGACGACGAAGAACGCAGCAGAGCGCGUUAGAUGGAGAUGAAGGCAUUCAUUACCCAGUGUUCGAAUUAAAAGGGGAUCCUUUUGAGUUUACCCCGUGGACUUAAGCAUAUCAUUAGUGGGAGGAGAAGAAAACAACGGUGAUUCCAGUAGUAGUGGCGAACGAAGCGGGAAACGCUCCGAUGGUAAAGAACGGGUGUUCUAUUGUAUGGGGACGUGGGCAAUGUUCUGAAAAGAACACACGCAGAGGGUGAUAUGCCUGUACUGUAGGCUCAGUAUUAUGAGUAACGCUGUUUGGUAGUGCAGUGUGAACGGGUGGUUGUGAGCAUCCAAGGCUAAAUACGAUCGAAGACCGAUAGUGGAUAAGUACUGUGAAGGAACCCACUGGCUUUAAUGGUCAGUUCGUGAAACCGAGCGUGCGGAAGGCAACGACGUUGCACCCGUCUUGAAACACGGACCA
rnacentral:rRNA from 1 species